GGCAUGCGUACCACUUCCUAAACACACUGUGUGUGCUCACCUCCCAAGGGCUGGCCUCUGCAGAAAUAGGAGACUCCUGGAGGAAGACAGUGGACUUCAGCAAGCUGCACCAAGGAGAAUCCACAGCGGCAGCUGCCCUGCCAGGCGCGGGAUCUCGGUCAAGGUGGAUCAACACAGCCUCAGGUGUGUGCUCUGCCCCACUGAGAUGGCAAGUGCAUUCUUUUCUAUUCCUACGAGGAAAGAGCAUCCGAAAGAGCCUGCCUUCACAUAGGAUGAAUAACAGUGGACCUUGGCUUUGCCUCAGUGUUAUGUGCUAAUAAACCAUGUAUUCUAUGCCCUAAGGAAGCCCAGAGAGAACUGGACAAGCUGGAUAUCCCAAAGAGCAUGGCACUGGCCCACCACAUUGAUUACAUUGCGCUGGCCGGGUGCUAACCAAGAAGCAGCUAACACACUGGGAGUCUUGGUAAGAUGCCUGAGUGCCUGCAGCUGGCAGACAAAUCCUACAAAGAUUCUGGGAACUGCCACUAAUAACACUCUUGGUGGGGAGGUCCCAUAUCCCAUAACCAGGAGCAUACUGGGCCUCCUGUCCACAGCAAAGAGCCAAUUACUGCAUCUUGCAUCUCCCAUGACCAAGAGAGACAGACAAUGCCAGUACGCCUUCUGGAGGCAGCACGUUCCACACACAUGAAGACUACUCCAGCCUAUGUACCAUUGAUAGGAGAAGCUGUCGGCCUUCCCUGAGCCUGCAGCAGGUCGAGGCUGCAGUGCUGGCAGCCCUGUGACUCAGGCCCUGCAGCUGGUCGGACCCUGUGUUAUGAGAGGUAUCAGACGUGGGAAAGCAAUGCUGUGUGUUUAUGGCAAACCACUAUGCCAGAAUCACAGUGCAGGCCCCUGGGAUUCAGAAACAAAGCCGUGCCAUCUGCGGCAGAGGAUUCUGCGAAAAAUUCUGAAAAGUCCCUGUUGAUGUGCUCCUGGGGCCUGGGGUGAUGGAAUACCUGAUUGUGCAUGUGGAACUGCUCAGAUGAGCUGGAUUCUGUCUCACCCCUGGGUCAUGAGGUUGGGGACUCAGAAAUAACCCAUCACAGGUGGGAGUGUGCGUGUGGCAGCAGCAGAAGCAGGAGCAGGAGGCCAAGCAGCGGCAGCUGCCCAGUACCCCCCCCCACCCUCCACAGCAGUCCCCACAGCCCCAGUGGAGGAACCUUCUGGUGAACUGAGGAGGGAGGGACAAGCCCGGCCUCAGUUCAUGGAGGUGUCUGCUCUGCCUGUGGGGCCAGCCCAAAUCGCCUGGCUGCCAUACUCCAGUCUCAGCAAGCUGCCCUUUAAAGAGGGUGAUAUGGUUUGGCUCUGUGUCCCCACCCAAAUCUCAUCUUGAACUGUAAUCCCCAGGUGAUGAGGGUGAGACCUGAUGGGAAGUGAUUGGAUCAUGGGGGCUGUUUUCCCCAUGCUGUUCUCGUGAUAGUGAAGGAGUUCUCAUGAGAUCUGAUGGUUUUAUAAGUGUCUGGCAAUUCCCCUGCUUGCACUUGUCUUUCUCACCCACCACCACGUAAGACGUGCCUGCUUCCCCUUCCGCCAUGAUUGUAAGUUUCCUGAGGCGUCCCCAGCCAUGCAGAACUGUGAGUCA
rnacentral:lncRNA from 1 species